rnacentral:lncRNA from 1 species
GUUCCUAAUUCCUGAAACCCAUCUAAAAUUAAAACCACCAAAAAGCCAAAAGGAUAAAAGUAUUUGAGUCUUGAACCUCUUAGUAUCUCUGUUUUACUAGUUAUAAUUUGUUUUCAGUUUUUGUUAUUUCCAUUCAUUCAUAUAGAAAAAGAAAAAAAAAAACACUGUAUACAAAAAAAAACAAACCAAAAUCUGAAGGAAAAAAAACGGUUAUCUCAUAUAUUGUAUGUAUUUUUAAUUUGGUACAUACUCUGUUGAUUUCAAAGGUAUUUUUAAUAUUCAGAGGUAUGCAUGCAUUAUUUUGUUCCCCUUUUAAUAAUUUUUUUUUUUUGAAACGUUCUCUCCUUCACUAAUAGAGAAUAAAUCCUUGAGUUUUUUCAUUUUGUUUGCAGAUCAUUUUAGUUUCUGUUUUUUGAAGCCAUUUUGCAUCACUCAAUAUAAUACAGGUAAGAGUUCCAAACUCUUCAUUGUUUUGACCAUUUUUUAAUAUGUCUGCUUGGUAAGCGUGUGUCUAUUUGAUGCAACA